CUCUUUGUAUCUUCCGGACAUUUUGCCUUUAAGCGCUUCCUGGGCUUUUUUCUCUCAAGCAUCUUCCGCACUGGUUGGACUUUUCUUUUAUUUUGUUCCUCAACUCGGCUUACCUGGUACCAAGGGUCAAUUUUUGAGGCCGACACCUGCCGCGGUUGGAUCUUCUUCAUUUAAUUCCUCAACUCGACUUAGUGAUGCCAGAGGUCUAUUUCCGAAACCGGCACCUGCCGUGGUUUGACUUCUUCAUUAGUUGAGCCUCAACUUGGCUUAGUGGUGCCAGGGUCUAUUUCCAAGGCCGGCACCUGCCGUGUUUGGGUUUCUUCAUUUGAUUCCCUCAAUUCGACUUAUUGGUGUCAGGGGGUCUAUUUCCGAGACUGGCACCUGCCAUGGUUGGGCUUCUUCAUUUCAUUCCUCAACUCGACUUAUUGGUGUCAGGGGUCUAUUUCUGAGGCCGGCACCUGCCGUGGUUGGGCUUUUUUCUUUGUUGGGUCCUCAAAUCGGCUUAGUGGUGUCAGAGUUCUAUUUUCAAGGCCGACACCUGCCACGGUUAGGAUCUUCACUUUCUCAACUCAGCUUAGUGGUGCCAGGGGUCUAUUUCCGAGCCCGGCACCUGUCGUGAUUGGGAUCUUCACUUCCUCAACUCGGCUUAGUGGUGCCAAGGGUCUAUUUCCAAGCUCGACACCUGUUGCGGUUAGGAUCUUCACUUCCUUAACUCAGCUUAGUGGUGCCAGGGGUCUAUUUUCGAGGCCGGCACCUACCGUGGUUGGGGUCUUCACUUCCUCAACUCGGCUUAGUGGUGCUAGGGGUCUAUUUUCGAGGCCUAUACCUGCUAUAGUUGGGGUCUUCACUUCUUCAACUCAGUUUAGUGGUGCCAGAAGUCUAUUUCCGAGGCUGGCAUCUGCUGUGGUUGGGGUCUCCAUUUCCUCAACUCGGCUUAUCUGGUGCCAGAGGUCUAUUUUCCGAGGCCGGAACCUACCGUAGUUAGGUUUUUCUUCAUUUUGUGGUCGUGGCUUCCAGGCUUAUUAGCCUUGCUCUUACUUUUAAAAUUUAUCUGCAAAAUAAAAGCUUGUACAAAGUAUAUGUAACGAGAAUGCUCAUUGUUGAUUGAAUAAUAUUGAUCAAAGAAUAUUGUGGCAUGCAAGAUACUUAAGUUCACAUUUCAAAUGAAUUCAGAUAUUAAUUUUGACCAACUACAUCAUCUCAUACGAUUCAAAGAAUCCAAUAAAUAAUGUUUCUCAUGCAUAAAUCAUUUCACAGUUUCCACAUCACAUAGCAACAUGCUUAAACAAAUAAUCCUUUUCUCAGUGUAUUCAUGCUAAUAUUAAUCACCGAUGGCUUUUUAAGCUACUUCAGUAUACUAUCAUGUUCAGGUUCAUAUACACAGGGCUUUCGUCUAAGAUUGUAAAUUUUAUAACUAGUUUAUGAUAGCAAAAAUACUUUGAGCUAAAAAGUAAUUGUACAAAUUAGGUAACUCGUACACGUCACCUCUCUUCCAUGAUUGGUGAAUCGCUCUUGUGUUGCUCUUCUUCUUAUAUCAACAUCUUCCUCUAUCUAAUUUUUGCUUUUAAAUGCAGUUGGUGAUUUUUGGGUCUUUCACCAUCUCUCUUCCCUUCGGUCUUUCUAGUUGUUUGGUUAUUAGUUUUUCUUGAUUUUCCAUGUAGAUCUCAAUGGAAACUCCGGCGGCAGAAUAGUCUCCUUUGUUCCCACAUACAACACUACUUGAUGAUGCGAGAUUCGGCGGGAUGGCCAGAUGCGUACUGUUACGUCCAUAAAGUUUGAAAAUGUGCAACACCAUACUGGGGAAGAUGUUGCCAUAAAGAUUGUUUGGGGAGUGCUCAGGCGGACCCUUGUGUGUGGGAUUACCAUUCCUGCAUACACUGGUCGGAAGUUGGAGCCGCUCCCCUGAUGAGCCCAAGGCAAGGCAAAACCAGUCAGCGUGACAAGACUCCUCAAUCGGCUAAACUUGGUAGGCUAUAACCUUGUAUGGGGCUAGUCAAGUGCUGCAUGGGUACAGUUCGUUAAAGGCGCCCAUGAUAAAUAGUACCAGAGUGAAGGUGGGCUUCCGCAUGGUACGCAUUGCCAACCCACCUAACGAUCCUGGAAGAAUAGAGGAGUGGAGGAGUUGUCUUUCCUAGCGUGGGUGACCCAGCAGAAUGACUAGGUGCGUAGUUGAGUUGAGCUUCCAAGGUGAAGGGGAGGAAGGAUUGAUGCUGCACACCGAGGUGCUAUAUCAGACUCACUGGUCAGGAAAGUGGUGUCCAAAUCAAAUUACGGGGCAAAAGUAUGAGUGAGGAUCGAGUUCCUUGGUUGCCUCAAGUAGGGGUGAGCAGUAUUCGGUUUAAACUGAAAAAACCGAUCAAACCAAAUUAAUUCGAAAAUUUGGUUCGAUUUUUUAUUCAUUUCAUUUCGGUUCGGUUUUUAAUUUAAAAAUUUUCGGUUCAGUUUUGAUUAGAAAAAAAUAAAAAAAAUUGAACCGAAUCGAUUUGUGAUAAUAGUAUAUUAUUUUUAAUGAUAUAGAGAUAUUAGAUCAUAAUCAAAAUUAAAAUAUUUCAAUUAAAUUGUAAAAUACUAAAAAUAAGGUGUAAAUAGUAAAACUUUUAUUAAAAAUUCAAACCAAACCGAAUCGAAUCAGACCGGUUCGAUUCUAUUCGGUUCCGACCUGUUCGAUUUUCAUAAAUACCAAGGUGAAGGGGAGUAAGGAUUGAUGUUGUGCGCACCGGUGCUAUAUCGGACUCACUGGUCAGGAAAGUGGUGUCCAGAGCAAGUUGCUGGGCAAAAGUAUGAGU
rnacentral:lncRNA from 1 species